AGGGUUAGUCGGGUCCUAACGCGAACCCGAAAGGGGUAGUGGAUGGAUAACUGGUUAAUAUUCCAGUACUAGUAUUACUGCGAUGGAGUGACGGAGAAGUGAAAGACCUGCGUGCUGACGGAAUAGCACGUUAAAGAGUGUAGGUAUAGGGAUGGUAGGCAAAUCCGCCAACCCUG
rnacentral:rRNA from 14 species